GAUCCUGGCUCAGGAUGAACGCUGGCGGCGUGCUUAACACAUGCAAGUCGAGCGAAGCACUUAUGAAAGAUUCUUCGGAUGAAAUCAUUUGUGACUGAGCGGCGGACGGGUGAGUACGCGUGGGUAACCUGCCUCAUACAGGGGGAUAACAGUUGGAAACGACUGCUAAUACCGCAUAAGCGCACAGUACCGCAUGGUACAGUGUGAAAAACUCCGGUGGUAUGAGAUGGACCCG
rnacentral:rRNA from 1 species